rfam:Myotis brandtii contig168099, whole genome shotgun sequence.
UGUGGUUCUCGGGUGACGCACCCGGAAUCAGAGAGGAGGGAGCCCGAUUCUGGGGUGCGUCACCUGAGAACCGCC